UGGGGAAUAUUGCACAAUGGGCGCAAGCCUGAUGCAGCCAUGCCGCGUGUGUGAAGAAGGCCUUCGGGUUGUAAAGCACUUUCAGCGGGGAGGAAGGCGAUAAGGUUAAUAACCUUGUCGAUUGACGUUACCCGCAGAAGAAGCACCGGCUAACUCCGUGCCAGCAGCCGCGGUAAUACGGAGGGUGCAAGCGUUAAUCGGAAUUACUGGGCGUAAAGCGCACGCAGGCGGUCUGUCAAGUCGGAUGUGAACUCCCCGGGCUCAACCUGGGAACUGCAUUCGAAACUGGCAGGCUAGAGUCUUGUAGAGGGGGGUAGAAUUCCAGGUGUAGCGGUGAAAUGCGUAGAGAUCUGGAGGAAUACCGGUGGCGAAGGCGGCCCCCUGGACAAAGACUGACGCUCAGGUGCGAAAGCGUGGGGAGCAAACAGG
rnacentral:rRNA from 1 species